GACGAACGCUGGCGGCGUGCUUAACACAUGCAAGUCGAACGGAAAGGCCCCUUUGGGGGUCCUCGAGUGGCGAACGGGUGAGUAACACGUGAGUAACCUGCCCUUGACUUCGGGAUAACUUCAGGAAACUGGGGCUAAUACCGGAUAGGAAUCCUUGCUGCAUGGUGGGGGUUGGAAAGCUUCGGCGGUUUUGGAUGGACUCGCGGCUUAUCAGCUUGUUGGUGGGGUAGUGGCUUACCAAGGCUUUGACGGGUAGCCGGCCUGAGAGGGCGACCGGCCACAUUGGGACUGAGAUACGGCCCAGACUCCUACGGGAGGCAGCAGUGGGGAAUAUUGCACAAUGGGCGGAAGCCUGAUGCAGCAACGCCGCGUGCGGGAUGACGGCCUUCGGGUUGUAAACCGCUUUCAGCAGGGGCGAAGCUUGUGGUGACGGUACCUGCAGAAGAAGCACCGGCUAACUAUGUG
rnacentral:rRNA from 1 species